rnacentral:rRNA from 10 species
GUGUAUGGCCAUAUCACCUUGAACAGGCCUGAUCCCAUCUGGUCUUAGAAGCCAGCCAGGGUCAGGCCCAGUUAGUACUUGGAUGGGAGAAAUAUUCAGCAAUAACAGCUUUCCAGGAAGCACCCAGGGGGUGCAGC